AGCUGCUCCCUGAUCUCCAUCAGCACUUGGGUUUUUGGAUUAUUGAGAGGGGCGUAGCUGUGGAAUCUUCUUUGGGGAGAGCUCCACCGAACUCUGCAAUUUGAGCUUCUCUGCCUACGAACUCAGGGGGCAGUUCGGAUACGCUUGUGUCUGGAGGGACUUCGAGAAUGUGGCCGAGCUUCACUCGGCCCUUUUUCAGCUAUGGGCUUGUUGGAGUCACCCGCCUGCCGCUCUUUCACGGCCUUCUCAUCCUUCAUCUUGAAGGCUUCCUCUACUCGGGCAUAUCCUUCGGUCCGA
rnacentral:lncRNA from 1 species